rnacentral:rRNA from 1 species
GACGAACGCUGGCGGCGUGCUUAACACAUGCAAGUCGAGCGGAGCGGCGAACGGGUGAGUAACGCGUGAGUAACUGCCCCCCUCUCUGGGAUAACAGUUGGAAACGGCUGCUAAUACCGGAUAGUGGGGGAUGACUCGCGUCCUAUCAGCUUGUUGGUGGGGUAGUGGCCUACCAAGGCGACGACGGGUAGCCUGCCUGAGAGGGCGACCGGCCACAUUGGGCUUAGAUACGGCCCAAACUCCUACGGGAGGCAGCAGUGGGGAAGAUUGCGAAAUGGGGGAAACCCUGAUGCAGCAACGCGCGUGCGGGAUGACGGCCUUCUGGUUGUAAACCGCUUUCAGCCAUGACGCGGUAUCUAACCAGAAAGCCACGGCUAACUACGUGCCAGCAGCCGCGGUAAUAC